rnacentral:lncRNA from 1 species
GUGUUCCAGAAUACUGAUGAGCUUGCACAUCGUCUCAGUAGUUGGCUGUGGGAUGAAGAAAAAUCUCAAGUGCUGUGUAAAUGAGGAAGUAAUAGCUCGGGAGAGAUUUUGGAGUCCAGAGAUGAUGUGGAAGUCGCAACAACAACAGGUCACAGAGGCAGAACACUACCUUAUUGAUCACUCUGUGGAGGGAACUUCUCCUUUAAUCACCAAAAACCUCAAAACUUGGGAGCCCAGGCUCCCGCAGUGACAGAAAGACCCAUGUAUGGGCCUGGACCAGCCAUGGGGAAUGUCAUUAUUGCUGGUGCUUCUUUUGCCACUGCACAGUGCUGCUGGCUGGGCUCCUCCUGCAUCUUCAGUCAAUGUGCGCCGGAUCCCUCAGAGAUGGCUCCCAUGGUCAGCAGAUUUCCACCGACCGCAGAUGUACCUCCAGGGAUCCUGGCCACUCUUCUCAAGGCCUUUUCCACGAGAGGAAAUGAAGAACAGAGGCACAAACUUCAUUGCCAUGUGUGAGAACCUUCCAAAUAACCCUGAAACUGACGGCGUUGUGCUUGAACUGAAAGCUCUUUUCUCCUUGGUAAGGAGAACGGAUCAUAAAAUUAUUACCACGGUGCAGACUAAGGAGGCACCAUAUUGCUGGGAGGAACAUCUUGUCUUGAGAAUGUAUUCCACAGCUUCAACACCGGAUUUGAAGACUGAAAGGAUGAGUAAGGAGCAGCAAGUUUUAGGAAAACAACAACAGACCUAACUCCAUUGCAGGACUUCCGUCUGCCUGAAUGGUAAACAGUCAUGACCUGGCUUCUGUGUAAGAUCAUUGCUCCCACAGUAAAUGUCACAAUUUCCAUUUCAAAACUCCUUUUCAACUGCCUCUUUCUCUUGCAUCAAAAUAAUAAAUCACCUGCUAUUAUGGUCA